rnacentral:rRNA from 1 species
GAUGAACGCUGGCGGCGUGCCUAAUACAUGCAAGUCGAGCGAACGGACGAGAAGCUUGCUUUUCUGAUGUUAGCGGCGGACGGGUGAGUAACACGUGGAUAACCUACCUAUAAGACUGGGAUAACUUCGGGAAACCGGAGCUAAUACCGGAUAAUAUUUUGAACCGCAUGGUUCAAAAGUGAAAGACGGUCUUGCUGUCACUUAUAGAUGGAUCCGCGCUGCAUUAGCUAGUUGGUAAGGUAACGGCUUACCAAGGCAACGAUGCAUAGCCGGCCUGAGAGGGUGAUCGGCCACACUGGAACUGAGACACGGUCCAGACUCCUACGGGAGGCAGCAGUAGGGAAUCUUCCGCAAUGGGCGAAAGCCUGACGGAGCAACGCCGCGUGAGUGAUGAAGGUCUUCGGAUCGUAAAACUCUGUUAUUAGGGAAGAACAUAUGUGUAAGUAACUGUGCACAUCCUGACGGUACCUAAUCAGAAAGCCACGGCUAACUACGUG